rnacentral:rRNA from 1 species
AGUCAAGUAAUUAAGUGCAUGUGGUGGAUGCCUUGGCAGUCAGAGGCGAUGAAAGACGUGAUAGCCUGCGAAAAGCUCCGGGGAGGCGGCAAAUAUCCUUUGAUCCGGAGAUGUCUGAAUGGGGGAACCCACCUACUUUAAGGUAGGUAUUGCAACAUGAAUACAUAGUGUUGCAAGGCGAACGAGGGGAAGUGAAACAUCUCAGUACCCUUAGGAAAAGAAAUCAAUUGAGAUUCCCUCAGUAGCGGCGAGCGAACGGGGAUCAGCCCAUUAAGUUAUGUGUGUUUUAGUGGAACGCUCUGGGAAGUGCGAACGUAGAGGGUGAUAUUCCCGUACACGAAAGGGCACACAUAAUGAUGACGAGUAGGGCGAGGCACGUGAAACCUUGUCUGAAUAUGGGGGGACCAUCCUCCAAGGCUAAAUACUCCUGACUGACCGAUAGUGAACCAGUACCGUGAGGGAAAGGCGAAAAGAACCCCUGUGAGGGGAGUGAAAUAGAUCCUGAAACCGCAUGCAUACAAGCAGUGGGAGCACCUUCGUGGUGUGACUGCGUACCUUUUGUAUAAUGGGUCAGCGACUUAUAUUCAGUAGCGAGGUUAACCGUAUAGGGGAGCCGUAGAGAAAUCGAGUCUUAAUAGGGCGUUUAGUUGCUGGGUAUAGACCCGAAACCAGGCGAUCUAUCCAUGAGCAGGUUGAAGGUUGGGUAACACUAACUGGAGGACCGAACCCACUGUCGUUGAAAAGCCAGGGGAUGACUUGUGGAUAGGGGUGAAAGGCUAAUCAAGCCUGGUGAUAGCUGGUUCUCCCCGAAAGCUAUUUAGGUAGCGCCUCGGACGAAUACCAUAGGGGGUAGAGCACUGUUUCGGCUAGGGGGUCAUCCCGACUUACCAAACCGAUGCAAACUCCGAAUACCUAUGAGUACUAUCCGGGAGACAGACUGCGGGUGCUAACGUCCGUAGUCAAGAGGAAAACAAUCCAGACCGCCAGCUAAGGCCCCAAAAUCAUAGUUAAGUGGGAAACGAUGUGGGAAGGCAUAGACAGCUAGGAGGUUGGCUUAGAAGCAGCCACCCUUUAAAGAAAGCGUAAUAGCUCACUAGUCGAGUCGGCCUGCGCGGAAGAUGUAACGGGGCUAAAACUAUGUGCCGAAGCUGCGGAUGUAUACUUUGUAUACGUGGUAGGGGAGCGUUCUGUAAGCCGAUGAAGGUGUGUUGAGAAGCAUGCUGGAGGUAUCAGAAGUGCGAAUGCUGACGUGAGUAACGACAAAACGGGUGAAAAACCCGUUCGCCGAAAGACCAAGGGUUCCAGUCCAACGUUAAUCGGGGCUGGGUGAGUCGACCCCUAAGGCGAGGCCGAAAGGCGUAGUCGAUGGGAAAAUGGUUAAUAUUCCAUUACUUCUGUGUAAUGCGAUGAGAGGACGGAGAAGGCUAAAUCAGCCUGGCGUUGGUUGUCCAGGUGAAAGGAUGUAGGCAUGUAUCUUAGGCAAAUCCGGGGUACUCUAUGCUGAGAUCUGAUAGCAAGCUGUACUUGUACAGCGAAGUGGUUGAUGCCAUGCUUCCAGGAAAAGUCUCUAAGCUUCAGUUACACAGGAAUCGUACCCGAAACCGACACAGGUGGUCAGGUCGAGUAGACCAAGGCGCUUGAGAGAACUCUGCUGAAGGAACUAGGCAAAAUGGUACCGUAACUUCGGGAGAAGGUACGCUGUUGUUGGUGAUGGAACUCGCUUCCUGAGCUGACGACAGCCGCAGAAACCAGGCCGCUGCAACUGUUUAUUAAAAACAUAGCACUCUGCAAACACGAAAGUGGACGUAUAGGGUGUGAUGCCUGCCCGGUGCUGGAAGGUUAAUUGAUGGGGUUAGCGUAAGCGAAGCUCUUGAUCGAAGCCCCAGUAAACGGCGGCCGUAACUAUAACGGUCCUAAGGUAGCGAAAUUCCUUGUCGGGUAAGUUCCGACCUGCACGAAUGGCAUAAUGAUGGCGGCGCUGUCUCCAGCAGAGGCUCAGUGAAAUCGAAAUCGCUGUGAAGAUGCAGUGUACCCGCGGCUAGACGGAAAGACCCCGUGAACCUUUACUGCAGCUUGACACUGAACUUUGACCUUACUUGUGUAG